CAUGGGGGGCAGCCCCACAAGUGGGGUCACAACCAGGGCCCCACACAUGGGGGGCAGCCCCACAAGUGGGGGUCACAACCUGAGCUCCCAGCACCACACAUGGGGGGCAGCCCCACAAGUGGGGGUCACAACCUGAGCUCCCAGCCCCACACAUGGGGGGCAGCCCCACAAGUGGGGUCACAACCUGAGCUCCCAGCCCCACACAUGGGGGGCAGCCCCACAAGUGGGGUCACUCCCAGCCCCACAAGUGGGGGUCAGCCCCACAAGUGGGGGUCACUCCCAGCCCCACACAUGGGGGUCAGCCCCACAAGUGGGGGUCAGCCCCACAAGUGGGGGUCAGCCCCACAAGUGGGGGUCACUCCCAGCCCCACACAUGGGGGGCAGCCCCACACAUGGGGGUCACUCCCAGCCCCACAAGUGGGGGUCAGCCCCACAAGUGGGGGUCACUCCCAGCCCCACAAGUGGGGGUCAGCCCCACAAGUGGGGGUCACUCCCAGGCCCACACAUGGGGGUCAGCCCCACACAUGGGGGUCAGCCCCACAAGUGGGGGUCACUCCCAGCCCCACACA
rnacentral:lncRNA from 1 species